AGGUUAGUGGCUCAGUGGUUAGAGCCUGGGGCUUGUGACCAGAAGGUCCCGAGUUCGAAUCUCAUAAGAGGUA
rnacentral:tRNA from 1 species